AGGGAGUAUUUAUGUGUGUCUUGAAGCAUUGAAUGCCCCAAAACAACCAGUAUGAUAAGAAGGCCAGAGUAUAUAGCUUCCCAAAAUGUUGAAAGACUAAGCUGCUUUUCUAUGGACUUGUAUACUAUCUAGGUUGAAAACAGCCAUGGACAAUGAAUUUGGAGGUACAUGCUGGAGCAUCAGAAAUUACAUACUUGGAAUAAAUAAUUGCACAAUACUCAUUUACUGAGAAGUGACUAAUGUUUAUGUUAAAGUACAGUAUCCAUGUUUGUAACAUUUACAUGGGGGGAAUAGUUACAGUGUUGAAAGAGACUACCAGUAUUACAUUUCAAUCUAAGUUACAGUGUGGGUGCUAAUUCUAAAUUCUUGAUAAUCAAGUGUUUUUAAUAACUUAUGAAUACUAAUUAUUUAUCAAACUGUUUAAUUUAUCACAUUCCUACAUCAUUAUUUUAUAUAAAAUGCUUGUCGUUAUAUAGUGUAUAUCAGGUUAAAUGGUAAUAAAUUUUGUUUCUGUGUAAAUAUCUUGCUUUUUGAUAAAUGAAAAUGAUACAUUCAGUGGCCAUCAUCUGUCAAAAAUUUAUUAUAAAUGUAACAAAACUGAUGAAAAGUUAGGUAGUUACUUUUCACAAGUU